rnacentral:RNase_P_RNA from 1 species
GCGGAUGGCCGGAUAACCGCCGCUUCUCUCAAGGUUCGCGCUUUGGGAGGAGGGGAGGAAAGUCCGGACUCCCUUGAGCAACGGUGCCGGGUAACGCCCGGCGGGGGCAACCCCAGGGACAGCGCCACAGAGAAGAGACGGCCUUCUAUACGGAGGUCAUGGUGAAACGGUGGGGUAAGAGCCCACCGCGCGAGCGGCAACGUGAGCGGCACGGCAAGCCCCACCGGGAGCAAUGCCAAAUAGGGGUUCUACGCGGGGUCUGUUGUGCGCAAGCAUACCGCCCGCAAGGUCGCUCAAGCCUGAGAACCCGGGUUGGCAGCUUGAGCCGUCUGGUAACAGCCGGCCUAGAGGAAUGGUUAUCCACGGCGGGUUUUCCGCUGAGACAGAAUCCGGCUUACAGGCUGUCCGCGUCG